CUUUGCUACUAUUGUUUCUUUUUCUUUGGCUUUCCAUUUCUAUUCUACCUAAAAAUGUGUUUCUUUGGGGGAGGGUCUUCCGUUGGUAUAUUGAGCAUUAUAGAAACAACACAGAUGUUUUAGGUGAUCUGCAUAUGCAGCAUUUUGCAACUUAUUCAACUGUAAAAACGUCUAAUAAACAACCUAUGAUUCAUGGUUACUACAUCGCGACCAUAUGCCUACCAAUCUGCUAAUGCUGAUUUGUCUGAUGAUCUAUAGAGAGAAUCUCGUGAACAAAUUAAUUUUAAGAAAAAACCCGAAAUAUAAGGAAAUACUUUCUGCAGUUGCCGUAUCACCUCUCUGAAAGACAUGAUUGUUUUAACACAUCAUACGAAUUUGCAUGAGAUAAAGAAUACAUUUUAAUUGGUCUUGACAUGGACCCUAGGACCCCUGGCAGCCUCUUAAGUUAGCUGAAUGCUGAAUGUUCUGUAUUCUGGGGUGUUUAAUAACAAUUCAUUUGCCUCUGCUCAUUUCCUGUUUACCAAUGUACCUAAAACUUAAACCUUCUUUAUAUUUUUUUCGGUCAAAACAUUAGGUUACACCACCUACUCACCUAUUCAUCAUUCAUUUCACAUCGUCUUUAAAGUAACGACAGAACAAAGACUCUGCAGCACAGGGACGGAUAUAUCUUAGUAUUUUUAGUUUGAGUAAAAAAGUACUUUGAACUCAACACACAAAGGAAAAUAAUUACCAUGAAUAUGUUUAAAGUCCCAGUCACAGCGGCAACCGCUACAGGACAAUCUUUCAAUUAUCCAUUGUUCAAAAAUGUAAUCUGGCAAUUUAAAUCUAUGGCACAUAACUAGUGUAAAUUGUAGUAUUUAAGAAAAUCACUUAUUCAUUCCAUUAGGUAUGAGACAAGUAAAAAAAUACACAUGGCCUUUGGUUUUUUGGGGUUGUGGCUUUAAAAUUAUAAUAGUUAGAAAACUACUGAAAAUUGAAAUUUAUCUGAUGAAACUAUCAGAAAAUGAGCAUUGGACCAAAAUCUGGACUUGUUUCUGAAUUUGUUUUUGUGAGCCUCAGCUGGGGCCACAGUAUUUACUAAACUUACUUUAAUUACUAAAUCUAAACAUUUAUGAUCAAGAGAAUUCUUUGGGUCAGACAAAGAAAGUAAAAACAUUCUUGCAUGCUACAACUUUGACUCACAAGGACAGUGGCUGAUGGACUUUUUCAGUUCAAGCCCACUUUGGAGGGCCAACAUUUGGCCAGGUUCCCCCUUAGUUCAAGAUAUACAAAAACACUGCUAUAUCACUGCAAUAAUAACUAGAGCAGCAAACAGAUUUUCAUCCCAAAUCUCCCCUUAAUUGACCUCUGAUCUGGACUUCCUAAUAUAUAAAGGAGUGCAAAUUGGCAUUCUCCAUGCAUUUAACCUCCACUGGCCUUCAGCCUAAACAAUUACAACUGCUCUAUGCCUCCCAGAGACCAGCCCUAAGUUUAGGAACCACUAUACAAGAAGAACUGUGUGUGUUCCAUUUUUUAACAUUAAAAUAUGCACAUAGUUUGAUAUUUGUUCAAAGUCAAGGUUCCAAGAUCAAUCAUGUAAAACAUUAUGGAUGUUUCUCGAAACUUCAGCUGAAAGGGCUACACCGGUUGCUUUUCAUUUUAAUCUAAUCAAGUUGCAGUAACUUGCAUUUAUUAGAAGUGUCCUUUAUUUUUCAAAUGAUCUGGAACUCUUAUUCAGAGAAUUUGUGGAGGUCUUGGUAUUUAGCCAAAGCCAUAAAUAAUAAAUUUGGUGUAUUCCAAAAUAACAUGUAUACCCAUAUGGUGCUUUAUUCUGGGGAAUUUAUUAGAAAAUUGAUUCUCUGAAGCGCAUUGCUUUUAGCAAUAUUAGGCCACAUUGCUAGCUCAGUAUAACACAGGAAGCUCAUCAUUUAGGUACCAAGAAUAUGUGACUGUCUUCUGAUACCAAGGAUUGUUGGCUACAAAAAAAUUGUUGUAUUCUUUGUUGCAACAUUAUGACUUUGACGCCUAUAAAAGACAUGGGCUGAUGGUAUGUUGCCUGAAGCCCUCUUGUUCCAUGUAUAGCAACCUUCUCUUAUGUGACAUUGAGACAUCGAGACAGCUUCCACAAGACUCUGAUUUAGCUUGGUGAAUAAACUACUCCGUUAUUCUGA